rnacentral:ncRNA from 1 species
UAGGCGGAUAUCGAAAAGCCUUAAUAGAGUAGAUA